rnacentral:RNase_P_RNA from 1 species
AAGCUGGGCCAGAAGAUCGCGUCCAGAAAUCCUGGCAGGAUUUCUGGGUGAGGAAAGUCCGGACACCAAAGGGUACGAUGCAGGUUAACGACCUGGCGUUGUGAGGCGACGGAAAGUGCAACAGAAAGUAUGUAUGGUUCCGAUUGCAAAAUCGGAAUGCGUAGUGAAAUCCGGUAAACCCCAUCGGGUGCAAGACCAAGUAGUCCACGAGUCUCCCGACUAGUCGAGAGUACUUCGCUACCCGCGGAGUGAAUUCCAUGAAAAGCUAUAGCCUCAUGGAGUUUGCGUGGAGGGUAGGUCGCUUGAGCCUUGGAGUAAUUCAAGGCCUAGAGAAAUGAUCUUCCCUUGCAAACAAGGACAGAAUCCGGCUUAUCGGCCCAGCUUAGUG